GAUGAACGCUAGCGGCAGGCCUAAUACAUGCAAGCCGAGGGGCAGCGUGGUCUUCGGACCGACGGCGACCGGCGAACGGGUGAGUAACGCGUACAUAACCUGCCCCGCACUGGGGGACAAGCACUGGAAACGGUGUCUAAUACCCCAUGGUAUCCCAGAUGGGCAUCCUGAAGGGAUUAAAGGAUACGGUGCGGGAUGGAUGUGCGUACGAUUAGCUUGUUGGUGGGGUAACGGCCCACCAAGGCUACGAUCGUUAGGGGGCGUGAGAGCGUGGUCCCCCACACGGGUACUGAGACACGGACCCGACUCCUACGGGAGGCAGCAGUAAGGAAUAUUGGGCAAUGGAUGAGAGUCUGACCCAGCCAUGCCGCGUGCGGGAUGAAGGCCCUAUGGGUCGUAAACCGCUUUUACGGAUGAAGAAAAAGUCCCACUUGUGGGAUCGUGACGGUAAUCCGCGAAUAAGCACCGGCUAACUCCG
rnacentral:rRNA from 1 species